rnacentral:rRNA from 1 species
GAUCCUGGCUCAGGAUGAACGCUAGCGGCAGGCCUAACACAUGCAAGUCGAGGGGCAUCGGGAUUGAAGCUUGCUUCAAUUGCCGGCGACCGGCGCACGGGUGCGUAACGCGUAUGUAACCUACCUAUAACAGGGGCAUAACACUGAGAAAUUGGUACUAAUUCCCCAUAAUAUUCGGAGAGGCAUCUCUCCGGGUUGAAAACUCCGGUGGUUAUAGAUGGACAUGCGUUGUAUUAGCUAGUUGG